GGGUGAGUAACGCGUGGGUAACCUGCCUCAAAGAGGGGGACAACAGUUGGAAACGACUGCUAAUACCGCAUAAGCCCACGGCUCGGCAUCGAGCAGAGGGAAAAGGAGCAAUCCGCUUUGAGAUGGCCUCGCGUCCGAUUAGCUAGUUGGUGAGGUAAUGGCCCACCAAGGCGACGAUCGGUAGCCGGACUGAGAGGUUGAACGGCCACAUUGGGACUGAGACACGGGCCAAACUCC
rnacentral:rRNA from 1 species